rnacentral:rRNA from 1 species
UACGUAGGGGGCAAGCGUUAAUCGGAAUUACUGGGCGUAAAGCGUGCGCAGGCGGUUGUGCAAGACCGAUGUGAAAUCCCCGGGCUUAACCUGGGAAUGGCAUUGGUGACUGCACGGCUAGAGUGUGUCAGAGGGGGGUAGAAUUCCACGUGUAGCAGUGAAAUGCGUAGAGAUGUGGAGGAAUACCGAUGGCGAAGGCAGCCCCCUGGGAUAACACUGACGCUCAUGCACGAAAGCGUGGGGAGCAAACAGG